ACGAACGCUGGCGGCAGGCUACACAUGCAGUCGAGCGCGCCUUCGGGCGAGCGGCGGACGGGUUAGUAACGCGUGGGAACGUGCCCAGAUCUACGGAAUAGCCACUGGAAACGGUGAGUAAUACCGUAUACGCCCUUCGGGGGAAAGAUUUAUCGGAUUUGGAUCGGCCCGCGUUAGAUUAGGUAGUUGGUGGGGUAACGGCCUACCAAGCCUACGAUCUAUAGCUGGUUUUAGAGGAUGAUCAGCAACACUGGGACUGAGACACGGCCCAGACUCCUACGGGAGUGCAGCAGUGGGGAAUCUUGGACAAUGGGGGCAACCCUGAUCCAGCCAUGCCGCGUGAGUGAAGAAGGCCCUAGGGUCGUAAAACUCUUUCGCCUGUGAUGAUAAUGACAGUAGCAGGUAAAGAAGCCCCGGCUAACUCCGUGCCAGCAGCCGCGGUAAUACGGAGGGGGUUAGCGUUGUUCGGAAUUACUGGGCGUAAAGCGCACGUAGGCGGAUUAGAAAGUUAGAGGUGAAAUCCCAGGGACUCAACCCUGGAACUGCCUUUAAAACUACUAGUCUAGAGUUCGAGAGAGGUGAGUGGAAUUCCGAGUGUAGAGGUGAAAUUCGUAAGAUAUUCGGAGGAACACCAGUGGCGAAGGCGGCUCACUGGCUCGAUACUGACGCUGAGGUGC
rnacentral:rRNA from 1 species